GUUUUAAAGUGAAUGAAACCAAAAUCUUAGGGCCACAUUUCAAAAAGCUAAUGCUAUGCCUUGAACUUAUAUAGCCUGUGAUACUGCAACUCAGCUCCACUCUCCCCUGGUAGAAAAGAGAGGGAAAAGGCUUUUGUGUGUUUGAAACUGCAUUUUUUGCCUGAACUGCAGAACAAAAUCCAACAGGAAUUAAGAAUUCACAGUAACCUCCCAUUUUCUGUUCUGAGGGUGAUGUACACUUCUCUGACUUGAGGCACAGAAAAGAGGAACAAAAAUCACUGUACCUGUGAUGGGUCAAAGGCAGCAGCACCAGAUGGAGCCCUUGCCUGAGAUGCCCCACUGGCAGGGUGGGCACUGCCCAAGUACCAGUAACUCAGAAACAGCUCCCAGCAGGCUCAGUAAAAGCAGCGCCUCUGUUGUGAAGGAGCAGUGAAUGCACCACUCAGGUCGAGAUGGGAAUUACAGCUCCAAAAUGAACAAGGAUCCUGCACAACAGCAGCACCUGAUCUAAUCUUUCCUUUGCCUCUGUGCUGGUAGGAAGGCAAGGUUGGCGUUUUCAAACCCCCUUCCCGUUGACUGGAAAGACUAGUGAAAAAACUACCUGUGCUCCAGAAGAUGAUUGAGAGACUGGAGCAUUUCUCUUAUGAGGAAAGGCUGAGGGAGCUGGGCCUGCUCACUGUUGAGAAGAGAUGGCUGAGAGGGGACCUCAUCAAUGUCUGUCAGUGUCUGCAGGGAGGGGUCAGAGGAUGGACCAGGCUCUGCUCCGGGGUGCCCAGCAAGGGGACAAGAGGCAACAGGUAGAAACUGAUGCCCAGAAGAUCCAUCAAAAUCUAAGGAAGAACUUCUUGUAAGUGACAGUGCACUGGAACAGGUUUCCCGGAGAGACUGGAGAGUCUCCCUCACUGGAGAUAUUUCAGAACUGUCUGGACACAAUCCUGUGCAAUGUUCUCUGGGAUGACCCUGCAACAGUGAGUUUGGACUGGAUGACCCACUGUGGGCCCUUCCAAAGUUACUUGCUCUGUGACUGUGCUAGGCCCUGUUCUCUCAGGAAUUCAUGUCUUAUCAAGAGCAAACAGUACCAGCCUGAGUAGGGACUAGACAAAACUAAAACUGCUUACAGCUGCACUCCUGCAUGAACACCAAACUGGGGUGACUGCAAGUCAGUCGCUGCAGGCUGUAGAUACCUGUAGCCACUGUGAGUCCAGGGAGCUCUCCUGUAUGGCAUGGUGGUGAUCUCCCUGUGAGCAGGGACAUAGCUCAAGGUUACUUCCUGAAGACCAGAGACCCCCUUACCUGGCAUCUGAUAUCUAUAAUGGGGUAAGAACAUUUUGCAUUAAGCCUAAAAGUGUAUUGUAUGUUAGUGACAUUUAUAUGUCCGGUUAUAGCUUUAG